ACAUGUCCGCAUGAUUAAAGGUAUUUUCCGGUAGACGAUGGGGAUGCGUUCCAUUAGAUAGUAGGCGGGGUAACGGCCCACCUAGUCAACGAUGGAUAGGGGUUCUGAGAGGAAGGUCCCCCACAUUGGAACUGAGACACGGUCCAAACUCCUACGGGAGGCAGCAGUGAGGAAUAUUGGUCAAUGGGCGAUGGCCUGAACCAGCCAAGUAGCGUGAAGGAUGACUGCCCUAUGGGUUGUAAACUUCUUUUAUAAAGGAAUAAAGUCGGGUAUGCAUACCCGUUUGCAUGUACUUUAUGAAUAAGGAUCGGCUAACUCCGUGCCAGCAGCCGCGGUAAUACGGAGGAUCCGAGCGUUAUCCGGAUUUAUUGGGUUUAAAGGGAGCGUAGAUGGAUGUUUAAGUCAGUUGUGAAAGUUUGCGGCUCAACCGUAAAAUUGCAGUUGAUACUGGAUGUCUUGAGUGCAGUUGAGGCAGGCGGAAUUCGUGGUGUAGCGGUGAAAUGCUUAGGUAUCACGAAGAACUCCGAUUGCGAAGGCAGCCUGCUAAGCUGCAACUGACAUUGAGGCUCGAGAGUGUGGGUAUCAAACAGGAUUAGAUACCCUGGUAGUCCACACGGUAAACGAUGAAUACUCGCUGUUUGCGAUAUACGGCAAGCG
rnacentral:rRNA from 1 species